rnacentral:rRNA from 1 species
GACGAACGCUGGCGGCGCGCCUAACACAUGCAAGUCGAACGAGCGAGAGAGAGCUUACUUUCUCGAGCGAGUGGCGAACGGGUGAGUAACGCGUGAGGAACCUGCCUCAAAGAGGGGGACAACAGUUGGAAACGACUGCUAAUACCGCAUAAGCCCACGGCUCGGCAUCGAGCAGAGGGAAAAGGAGCAAUCCGCUUUGAGAUGGCCUCGCGUCCGAUUAGCUAGUUGGUGAGGUAACGGCCCACCAAGGCGACGAUCGGUAGCCGGACUGAGAGGUUGAACGGCCACAUUGGGACUGAGACACGGCCCAGACUCCUACGGGAGGCAGCAGGGGGGAAUAUUGCACAAUGGGGGAAACCCUGAUGCAGCGACGCCGCGUGGAGGAAGAAGGUCUUCGGAUUGUAAACUCCUGUUGUUGAGGAAGAUAAUGACGGUACUCAACAAGGAAGUGACGGCUAACUACGUGCCAGCAGCCGCGGUAAAACGUAGGUCACAAGCGUUGUCCGGAAUUACUGGGUGUAAAGGGAGCGCAGGCGGGAAGACAAGUUGGAAGUGAAAUCCAUGGGCUCAACCCAUGAACUGCUUUCAAAACUGUUUUUCUUGAGUAGUGCAGAGGUAGGCGGAAUUCCCGGUGUAGCGGUGGAAUGCGUAGAUAUCGGGAGGAACACCAGUGGCGAAGGCGGCCUACUGGGCACCAACUGACGCUGAGGCUCGAAAGUGUGGGUAGCAAACAGGAUUAGAUACCCUGGUAGUCCACACUGUAAACGAUGAUUACUAGGUGUUGGAGGAUUGACCCCUUCAGUGCCGCAGUUAACACAAUAAGUAAUCCACCUGGGGAGUACGACCGCAAGGUUGAAACUCAAAGGAAUUGACGGGGGCCCGCACAAGCAGUGGAGUAUGUGGUUUAAUUCGACGCAACGCGAAGAACCUUACCAAGUCUUGACAUCCUGCGACGCACAUAGAAAUAUGUGUUUCCUUCGGGACGCAGAGACAGGUGGUGCAUGGUUGUCGUCAGCUCGUGUCGUGAGAUGUUGGGUUAAGUCCCGCAACGAGCGCAACCCUUAUGGUCAGUUACUACGCAAGAGGACUCUGGCCAGACUGCCGUUGACAAAACGGAGGAAGGUGGGGAUGACGUCAAAUCAUCAUGCCCUUUAUGACUUGGGCUACACACGUACUACAAUGGCGUUAAACAAAGAGAAGCAAGACCGCGAGGUGGAGCAAAACUCAGAAACAACGUCCCAGUUCGGACUGCAGGCUGCAACUCGCCUGCACGAAGUCGGAAUUGCUAGUAAUCGCAGAUCAGCAUGCUGCGGUGAAUACGUUCCCGGGCCU